CCUGGACUGGACAGACGUACCUGCAUAGCGGAGCCGUUUCCGGAAAGGAUUGUCAUCACUCACAGUCGUCAGGCUGUCUGUGUGCUUGAGGAUAGCCCAGAGCUGUGAUGCAGAACGUUGAGGGAUGGAUGCACGGAAAGGGGUGGCGGACCGAGUGUGUCAACGUGUAUCACUAGUCCUGAGGGUUUUUGGGCAGGUAAAUUCUCGACACUUAAUGGGACACUUAGAAUGAACGGAAAGGAAUGUUCAGUCUUUGAAGGCGACAUGAAGGGUCCAGAGUAUGUUUACCUUUAAAAUGAUCUAUGUUUUGUACGCGGUCUGCAGCUUAAUAAAACAUUUGGU